rnacentral:rRNA from 1 species
GACGAACGCUGGCGGCGUGCUUAACACAUGCAAGUCGAACGGAAAGGCCCUGCUUUUGUGGGGUGCUCGAGUGGCGAACGGGUGAGUAACACGUGAGUAACCUGCCCUUGACUUUGGGAUAACUUCAGGAAACUGGGGCUAAUACCGGAUAGGAGCUCCUGCUGCAUGGUGGGGGUUGGAAAGUUUCGGCGGUUGGGGAUGGACUCGCGGCUUAUCAGCUUGUUGGUGGGGUAGUGGCUUACCAAGGCUUUGACGGGUAGCCGGCCUGAGAGGGUGACCGGCCACAUGGGGACUGAGAUACGGCCCAGACUCCUACGGGAGGCAGCAGUGGGGAAUAUUGCACAAUGGGCGGAAGCCUGAUGCAGCAACGCCGCGUGCGGGAUGACGGCCUUCGGGUUGUAAACCGCCUUCGCCUGGGACGAAGCGUGAGUGACGGUAAUGGGUAAAGAAGCACCGGCUAACUACGUG